UACGGGGGGGGCAAGCGUUGUUCGGAAUUACUGGGCGUAAAGGGAGCGUAGGUGGAUAUUUAAGUGGGAUGUGAAAUACUCGGGCUUAACCUGAGUGCUGCAUUCCAAACUGGAUAUCUAGAGUGCAGGAGAGGAAAGUAGAAUUCCUAGUGUAGCGGUGAAAUGCGUAGAGAUUAGGAAGAAUACCAGUGGCGAAGGCGACUUUCUGGACUGUAACUGACACUGAGGCUCGAAAGCGUGGGGAGCAAACAGG
rnacentral:rRNA from 1 species